rnacentral:rRNA from 1 species
UGCAAGUCGAGCGGACAGAAGGGAGCUUGCUCCCGGAUGUUAGCGGCGGACGGGUGAGUAACACGUGGGUAACCUGCCUGUAAGACUGGGAUAACUCCGGGAAACCGGAGCUAAUACCGGAUAGUUCCUUGAACCGCAUGGUUCAAGGAUGAAAGACGGUUUCGGCUGUCACUUACAGAUGGACCCGCGGCGCAUUAGCUAGUUGGUGGGGUAAUGGCUCACCAAGGCGACGAUGCGUAGCCGACCUGAGAGGGUGAUCGGCCACACUGGGACUGAGACACGGCCCAGACUCCUACGGGAGGCAGCAGUAGGGAAUCUUCCGCAAUGGACGAAAGUCUGACGGAGCAACGCCGCGUGAGUGAUGAAGGUUUUCGGAUCGUAAAGCUCUGUUGUUAGGGAAGAACAAGUGCGAGAGUAACUGCUCGCACCUUGACGGUACCUAACCAGAAAGCCACGGCUAACUACGUGCCAGCAGCCGCGGUAAUACGUAGGUGGCAAGCGUUGUCCGGAAUUAUUGGGCGUAAAGGGCUCGCAGGCGGUUUCUUAAGUCUGAUGUGAAAGCCCCCGGCUCAACCGGGGAGGGUCAUUGGAAACUGGGAAACUUGAGUGCAGAAGAGGAGAGUGGAAUUCCACGUGUAGCGGUGAAAUGCGUAGAGAUGUGGAGGAACACCAGUGGCGAAGGCGACUCUCUGGUCUGUAACUGACGCUGAGGAGCGAAAGCGUGGGGAGCGAACAGGAUUAGAUACCCUGGUAGUCCACGCCGUAAACGAUGAGUGCUAAGUGUUAGGGGGUUUCCGCCCCUUAGUGCUGCAGCUAACGCAUUAAGCACUCCGCCUGGGGAGUACGGUCGCAAGACUGAAACUCAAAGGAAUUGACGGGGGCCCGCACAAGCGGUGGAGCAUGUGGGUUAAUUCGAAGCAACGCGAANAACCUUACCAGGUCUUGACAUCCUCCUGACAACCUUAGAGAUAGGGCUUUCCCUUCCGUGGACUGAGUGACCGGUGG